CAGCAGCCGCGGUAAUACGUAGGGUGCGAGCGUUAAUCGGAAUUACUGGGCGUAAAGCGUGCGCAGGCGGUUUUGUAAGACAGGCGUGAAAUCCCCGGGCUCAACCUGGGAAUGGCGCUUGUGACUGCAAAGCUAGAGUGCGGCAGAGGGGGAUGGAAUUCCGCGUGUAGCAGUGAAAUGCGUGGAUAUGCGGAGGAACACCGAUGGCGAAGGCAAUCCCCUGGGCCUGCACUGACGCUCAUGCACGAAAGCGUGGGGAGCAAACAGGAUUAGAUACCCCGGUAGUCCCUGUCUCUUAUAC
rnacentral:rRNA from 1 species